GUUAUGAUCCAAUUUAUGGCUCUUAUUAAAGACCAAUUACCUAAUUCAGAUCUUGCUAACAUUUUUAAAGGUCUAAACACACAGGUUGCUAGUGAUUCGUCUAGCGUGUAUAAUCAUUCUUCUACAGAAAACCCAACAUCUUCUCGUGCAAGUCAUAACAGUUCUUGAAGACAUGGUUUUCUCCUAUCUUAACAGUGUAAAUGGCAAUUCUGGCAGAAGCAAGUUCUAGAAGCCAAGAGUAGAAUACUUGAAGACUUCACCAUCAAGCAUGUAUAUAGUUAUCGAGUUAUCUUGAUAUAGUAAUCCAGGAGCCUAUUUGAGUUGUUUUGUGUUUCUUAUUGAAGUUACUACUUUGG